rnacentral:rRNA from 1 species
ACGAACGCUGGCGGCGUGCCUAAUACAUGCAAGUUGAGCGCUGAAGGUUGGUACUUGUACCAACUGGAUGAGCAGCGAACGGGUGAGUAACGCGUGGGGAAUCUGCCUUUGAGCGGGGGACAACAUUUGGAAACGAAUGCUAAUACCGCAUAAAAACUUUAAACACAAGUUUUAAGUUUGAAAGAUGCAAUUGCAUCACUCAAAGAUGAUCCCGCGUUGUAUUAGCUAGUUGGUGAGGUAAAGGCUCACCAAGGCGAUGAUACAUAGCCGACCUGAGAGGGUGAUCGGCCACAUUGGGACUGAGACAUGGCCCAAACUCCUACGGGAGGCAGCAGUAGGGAAUCUUCGGCAAUGGACGAAAGUCUGACCGAGCAACGCCGCGUGAGUGAAGAAGGUUUUCGGAUCGUAAAACUCUGUUGGUAGAGAAGAACGUUGGUGAGAGUGGAAAGCUCAUCAAGUGACGGUAACUACCCAGAAAGGGACGGCUAACUACGUG